UACAUGGGGUGCAAACGUUGCUCGGAAUUAUUGGGCGUAAAGCGCGCGUAGGCGGUUACUCAAGUCGGAUGUGAAAGCCCUCGGCUUAACUGAGGAAGUGCACCCGAAACUGAGUAGCUAGAGUACUAAAGAGGGUCGCGGAAUUCCCGGUGUAGAGGUGAAAUUCGUAGAUAUCGGGAGGAACACCGGUGGCGAAGGCGGCGUCCUGGACCAACACUGACACUGAGGAGCGAAAGCCAGGGGAGCAAACGGG
rnacentral:rRNA from 1 species